AAGGAAAAUUGCUGGGGAGGCUACAGAAUAACUAAUCUUCAUUCUUCCCUCAGAAAUGUGCUCACCCUGAAUUCUCUUGCAUUAAAAUGGAAGAAAAGAGAGCCCCGAGUAUUCAGCUGAGCUACCCUGUCAGUCCUUGGGGUUUGGAAUCCUAUUAGAGGUGUCUUUACAGUUUCACAUUAACUGCAACCAUUUCAAGAGCUCUCCAGAGAUUUUCUCCUGACCACUGCUCCCCUCAGUCUCUACUCCCCGCAAUAUAACUCUUAAGUGACUUUUCAAAGUUUUUACAUUUCUCAGUCCUCUUUUUUUUAAAACAUCACUGAAGGUAUUUUUGAAGAAUUAAUGGGAUAUUGUAUUCCUGGGAGAAAAUGACCUAGUCAUCUAAACUAGUAGAAGUGAAGGCUUGUUAAAGAAACCUGGUUUACUUUCCUGACUUAAGAACCGAAGUUGCAGACUCCUGGGUUUCCGGUUUGUCACUCUAGGGGCAUGUGACCUCACUCCUCUUUAAGAAUCAAACAUUGAUAUUAACUGAUGAUUGCAACACAGUUGGACCAGUGCUCUAAUAGAACUCUGAGCAGAGAGCUUGAGCACACCAAGGAGUAAGAGGUGUACUGAGGACAACUGACACGGUAAAGACGACGUUUGAACCAAACUAGGUUCAUUCCUCCAGGACAAGCUCUGCAUUUUGUUUGAGCUAAAGAAACAAAGGGACCUAGAGUUGUAUAAGAUAAGAUCCCUGGCCUACAAGAACUCACACAAAGUGAGAGAGACAGACAUAUCAACAAAUUUAAUAAAUGUGAUGUACAAGAUGACGGAACAAAGCCAGAAAGUUUCUGUGAGUUCUCAGAUGUGAACAAAGAGAGAAAUCAAAAUCUUUUUUUCUCUGCGGUCUUACUCCGAGUUAGAAGAGAUGGAUG
rnacentral:lncRNA from 13 species